GGGGCUGCCCUCGGGCCUGGCUCGCCCGCGGGCGGAUGGCUCCGGGUCUCUGCUGCUGAGGAUGUGGCUGCCGGGCGGAGGUCGUCCACUCCCCUGGGCCUUUCUCCGCGAGCCCUCCCACGCCGCCCGCUCCUCUCCCGGGGCGAAGGGCGGGGACGAGGCGCGCCGAAGCCCCGAGCUGAAGAGAAGGGUGGGGGCAUGAGGGCGCUGGAGUGAGGAACAGAUUGGAGCCUUCCCACUUCCUCUCCAAUCUCAGCCCCCGGGAGGAGGGGUGAGGCCCUCGAGGGGGCCCGGAGUUAAGGAGGAAUAGACCGUUUCUCUCUCUCCUGUCUCCCCCGCCUCUGCCCGUCUUCCCUCUAAGCCGGCCUCUAGGUGCAGAGGCUGACGUCCAGGAUGGGGACCGGGGAAGCCUCUGGAGGGUAUAUCCGGGAAGGCACCAAGGCUGAAAAAGAUGCAGUCUAGCACCUCAGUUAAGAAUAUGGACUCUAAAGUCAGACUGCCAGGCUUCAAAUUCCAGUUCUGCGACCUCAGCAAAGUUACUUAACCAAGCUCUCAGUGCCUUGUUUUCUUCAUCUGUAAAAUGAGGAUGACGUCACAGCAUUGUUGAGAGAAUUAAUACAGGCUCCAGACUUGUGAAUGGAGAAGUGUUGAGGUGACCCCAGCUCCAGCCACCAGCUGACGACAACCAUACCGGAGAUCCUGAGAGCUGCCUAGCUGACCCCAGGCACCCCCCAGACUUCAUGUAAGCUGUUUGAAGCCGAGGACUUUGUCUGUUUUGUUCACUCCCAAUAGAUUCAGCACUUAGAAGAAUGCCAGGCAGGCUUUCCCCACCAACCAAGAUGGAAUAACAGGGAAAAGACAUACCCUUCUAUCUUCAAUAAUUGGAAACCCAGACAAAGUUUAUGAAACGCUGGUUUUCAAGACAUAGGACAUCAGACAAUCAAGGACAGUAAACACUGAGAUGGGAAACAAACAAGGAAGCCAUGAAAACUUCAAAACUGCUUCACCACCUGGAGACCAAGCACCCUGCAUUAAAAGACAAGCCUUUGGAGUUUUUCUAAAGAAAAAACAUGAACACAGAGAACAGAAGUAAUUAUUGAAGGCCACUACUUCAUUAAGUGUGUCUGUACUGAGAGCAUCGUUCCUAGUGGCUAACCACGUUAUUAGGCUAAGAAGCCCUUUAGUAUUGGUGAAGAGUUGAUCCUGCCUGCUGCUAAGGACAUUUGUCAUGAACUUUUAGGAGAGGCUGCUGUUCAAAAGGUGGCACAUGUUCCUCUUUCAGCUAACACCAUAACUAGAAGAAUGGAUGAAAUAGCAGAGAAUAUUGAGGCACAAUUGUUAGAGAGGAUUAAUGAGUCACCGUGCUACACAAUCCACAAAAGGGUUUUGUCCCAGAAAUAGACUCAUACAUAUAUGAUCAGUGAUUUUCAACAGUGGUACAAAUGCAAGUCAGCGCAGAAAAAAUAAUCUCUUCAACAAAUGGUGCAGGAACAAUUGGAUAUCCAUAAAAUGAACUCGGAUCCACGCUUUGCACCAUAUGCAAAAAUUGACUCAAAAUAGGUAUAGGUCCUAGACCUAAAUGUAACAACCUGAAACUCUAAAAUUUCUCAGGAAAAAAAUGGGAUAAAAUCUUUGUGGUCUUGGAUUAGGCAAAGAUAUUUUCUUGUGUUUGUGGGUAAAGAAACCUUUAAUGAGGGUUCAAGGUGUAAGAGGAGGACCUUGUAGAGAGCCAGCGCUUAGCCCCAGCCUCCUCAUAUGCACAUGGCUCUGUAGAGGUUCUCCAGACAGUGCUGCUGCUGCUGUUUCGAGCCUUAUCUCCUCUGUGCUCCUCACAAGUGUCGUUAACAGCGGGCAGCUCCUGGCAGCACAAGGGACAGGGAUUUGUCUUGCUUAGCCGGGGCAAAAUGCAGUUAGAAUGGAAAAGCUAAUGGCAAGGCAUCCCAACAACAGCCUCCUCCUCCUCAAGCACAUGGGGCACUUGUGUGUGCCUCUCAGCCUGAGAGCUCCUGAUGACUGUCCUGGGGAGGUUCCCAACCACACUGUCUUGGCAGCUGGUGGAGGCAGGUGGUGAUUCCAAUUUACUGCCAUCCCCGAGUCUUCAAAAUCCAUCCUAUUGAAAAGUGAUCUGGUGAGCUCCAGCAGCAUGUGGGUUAGGGUCUCCUGCUUGGGGUUCAAGAGCUUGCAGUCCUGUUCAUUGAAAUAGGCUGUCAUGGCUGCUCAGCUCUCUGACAUAUCUCUCAGACUGGCAAAGAUAUUAGGUCUGAUACCAAAAGUACAAUCCAUAGAAGAAAAAGGAUGGAUACAUUGGACUUCAUUAAAAUUAAGAAUGUUUUCUCCUUGAAAAAUAAUGUUAAGAGAAUAAGAAGAUAAGCCACAAACUUGGAAAAAAAGUAAUUGUAAAUUACAUAUCUGAUAAAGUACUUGUACCCAAAAUAUGCACAAGAAUCUCAAAACUCAAUAAUAAGAAAACAAUCCAAUUUAAGAAAUUAUUUUAACAUACAUUUUACAAAAGAGGAUAUAUAGAUAGCAAAUAAGCCCACAAAAAGAUAUUGAAUAUUAUUGACCAUUGGGAAAAUGCAAAUUAAAACAAAAUGAGAUACCAUUACACACCUAUUAGAAUGUCUAAUAUUGAGAAGACUAAUCAUACUAACUGAUGAGGAUUUGGAGCAACUGGAACUCUCAAACCCUGCUGAUAGAUAAAUGCACAACCACUUUGGAACAGUUUGGUAGUUUUUUAAAAAGUUAAACAUACAUCUGCCUUAUGCCCCAGCCAUACAAUUUUUAGACAUUUCUCAAGGAAAAUGAAAGCAUAUGUUCAUUCAGAGAUACACAUGCAUAUUCAUUGCAGCUUUAUUUGUAACAGCCAAAAACUGGAAACAGCCCAAAUGUCCAGCAACAAAAGAAUGGAUAAACAAAUUGUGGUAUAUUUACUACCUAGCAGUUGAAAGAAAUAAACCUCUGACACACACAAGCUGGAUUAAAAAAGAAGAGGAAAUGAAUUAUUGAUACAUAUAAUAAAGAUUACUCUCAAAAUAAUUAUGGUAAGUCAAAGAAGUCAGACCAUGCUCCCUAAGAGUAUAUACUUCAUGAUUCAAUUUCUGUACAAUUCUAUAAAAUGCAAAUUAAUAUAUGAUAACAAAAAGUGAUUGCCUGGAAAUGGUGAGAGGACAGAGGGGCCAGAAUCAGCCAGGAUUACAAAGAUGCACAAGGAAACUUUUGAGGGUGGUGGAUAUCUUGAGUGUGGUGAUAGUUUUACAGUUGUAUGCCUAUGUUAGAAGCUAUCAAAUUGUACACUUUAAGUAUGUACACUUUGUUGUAUAUUAAUUAUGCCUUAAUAAAGUUAUUAUAAAAAGUAGUUCCAGGCAAUACUAGACACUCAAUAAACAUUUGUAAACUAGUCGUUGACUUUCUUGGACUGUGACUUGUUAGCAGUUAGGGAUUGAUUAUUCUGUACAUGUUUAUGUAAUACCUGGCAAAAUACCAUGCUGGAGUAAGUGCUCAAUAAAUGCU
ensembl:lncRNA MSANTD2-AS1 MSANTD2 antisense RNA 1